GUGGGGAUCAGAAGAGGUCUUCAGAAACAGUGACCUUUGAGGGCGUGAUGAUGGUGCCCGCGCAGGGACAGAACCCAGAUCAAAGGGAGAAGAGGAGGUCGUGGAAGGGAGGCAGUGGGUAUCCUCUCUGCAUUUGAGAAGUUUGGCGGCAGACAGGCUGAAAGAGAUGAUCACAAACUUGGAGAGGGUUAGGAAGACAGGCCAAGGGGCUUACUCCCUCUUUUUUGGUGAGAAAUCAAAUGCUGCUGAGCAUCUUUUAGUCAGAGGGAAGGUGGUAGUGAACAGCAAAGGAUUGGAGAAACAAGUGGAAGAAGCAAAAGAAGGUAUAAUUUAUGGAGCAGGCCCUAGAGAGAGGAGAGUGAGACUAAGGGUGAGGGCAGGGGGGCAGCCUGGAAAAGGAGAAGAGGCAUCUGUCUCAGCCUGGGGAAGGUGAAGAGAGCAGCAGAGGUGCAUGGUUUGGGUUGGAAAGCAAAGAAAUUAAUAACAAGGUUGCUGUAGUAGAGUGGGUACUGAAGUUACCUGCAGAGACAGAUUGGAAAGUGGCUUUAGAUUUCAAGGAAGGCCAAAAAGAGCAGAAGAGAAGUAUGAUUAGGAUCUUCCAGCCUCUGUAGGGAAAAAGGAGUUUGUGGAAUCUAUGUAGCUUCAUGCGGGAAGAAUCAGGACCUGUGGGCACAAUCUUUGAGGAAGUAGGCCCCAGUGUAACACAGAGAUCUGAGCUGACCAACAAUGACAGGAAUCACUGGCUGUAUUUUGGACAGAGGCUGCAGGUCCAUUUAUCAGGGAUGCUGCCCGUGGGCUCUUGCGCUGGGGCACAGGGAUGAGAUCCAUGUUCCCUCCUGGCUCUGAGACUCGAUGACCACAAAGAGAUGGCUGCAGAGCCUCCUAUUGCCAUGGCUGCCAUUGCUCUUGGGGAAUGAUCGGCUGAACACAGCUGCACCCCAUCUCCAGGAGGGUUCCCGAGGACCUGAGGCUGACAUCCAAAGGGUAGGCAAUGCCCAUGGAGGUGACUGAGUUUUGAGGACCUGGAAUGAGGUGCUGCUCAGGAGACAGCCGAAAAGGGAAGGAUAUUGUGAUCUGCCAUCAGGAGUACCAGCCUUUGACCAACCUUGAGAGCAGCAACAUAAAGGGUGACCAGCUCUUCUGAAUUGUCUGUGACUGAGGGGCUCCAAUGACAUAGGAUUUUCCAUGCUAAAGCUAAGAAGAUCCUUAUAAAUCAGGACAAAUCA
rnacentral:lncRNA from 1 species